rnacentral:rRNA from 1 species
UACGACUACAUAUCAGGCAUAUCAAUAAGCGGAGGAAAAGAAACUAACAAGGAUUCCCUUAGUAACGGCGAGUGAAGCGGGAAGAGCUCAAAUUUGAAAUCUUCAAGGUUUUACCUUGACGAAUUGUAGUUUAAAGAAGUGUUUUCUGUUGAAGUUUUGGUAAAAGUUCUUUGGAAUAGGACAUCAUAGAGGGUGAGAAUCCCGUAUUUGACCAUUAUUUUCAGCUGUGUGAUACACUUUCAAAGAGUCGGAUUGUUUGGGAAUGCAGUCCAAAAUGGGUGGUAAAUUUCAUCUAAAGCUAAAUAUUGGCGAGAGACCGAUAGCGAACAAGUACCGUGAGGGAAAGAUGAAAAGAACUUUGAAAAGAGAGUUAAACAGUACGUGAAAUUGUCAAAAGGGAAGCGUUUGACACCAGUGUUGUUUUCUCGAAAAUCAAUUAAAAAGAGUUGGAUUUUGUGUUGUAUUGACCUUAACAGCUUUCUGCACUCUUUUCCAGCUUUUUUUAAAUGCACUUUUCGUUUAACAAGUCAACAUCAGUUUCUUUUGUUGUAAAAGGGUCAUUGGAAGGUGGCUUUCUCUUCGGAGAAAGUGUUUAUAGCCUUUGAUCUCUGCAAUCGGAGAGACUGAGGUCUGCAGCGUAGAUCCUUCGGGGUUAGAUACAUUUGUGCUAAGUCUACAGCUUUUCAUAGACAACUUGUUGACUAUGUUUAGUCAUUGUAGCUUACCUCGCUUAUGCUAUUUUACCUACGCUUAGGAUGUUGAGCGCAUGUCUCUCUCU